CACGGGGGGAGCAAGCGUUGUUCGGAAUCACUGGGCGUAAAGGGCGUGUAGGCGGUUCGGUAAGUGGAAUGUGAAAUCCCUCGGCUCACCCGAGGACCUGCAUCCCAAACUGCCGAGCUUGAGUAUGGGAGAGGAUGAGGGAAUUCCUGGUGUAGCAGUGAAAUGCGUAGAUAUCAGGAGGAACACCGGUGGCGAAGGCGCUCAUCUGGCCCAAUACUGACGCUGAGGCGCGAAAGCUAGGGGAGCAAACGGG
rnacentral:rRNA from 1 species